ACCGACCUGCAGCCUUUAAUAAUAUAUAACAACAAUAAUAAUAAUAUUUUACCCAGUCCGGUGGUAGGUAUUCGCCGUUAUUGCGUGAUACUCGCGCUAAAAUCCUCGUCGCGUGCAGUGCGAACACGAAUAUAAUAAUAAUUGCUUCCUCUGUACAACACACACAAUACUAUAACAAUAUCCGACUCGUUAUUAUUCGCGAUCGAAAUCAUCGAGAACCACGCGAACGAUCGUCCGAGAGACCGUAUCUCGUGUCUUGUGAUUAAAAACACGA